rnacentral:rRNA from 1 species
GACGAAGGGGGCGGGCGUUACCCAUGAUGACUGGGCGUAAAGAGUCCGUAGGCGGCUUUUCAAGUUAAAAGUAAAAUCAAAAAGCUUAACUUUUUGAGGCUCUUAAUACGUUAAAGCUUGGAGUUUAAAGGGAGAUAGUAGAAUUUCAUAUGGAGGGGUGAAAUCCGUAGAAUUAUGAAGGAAUACUGAUGGCGAAGGCGACUAUCUAUUUUAAUCUGACGCUGAGGGACGAAAGCAUGGGGAGCAAACAGG